UACGUAGGGUGCAAGCGUUGUCCGGAAUCAUUGGGCGUAAAGAGCGUGUAGGCGGCUCGGUAAGUCCGCUGUGAAAGUCCAGGGCUCAACCCUGGAAUGCCGGUGGAAACUGUCGAGCUAGAGUCCGGAAGAGGCGAGUGGAAUUCCUGGUGUAGCGGUGAAAUGCGCAGAUAUCAGGAGGAACACCAAUGGCGAAGGCAGCUCGCUGGGACGGUACUGACGCUGAGACGCGAAAGCGUGGGGAGCAAACAGG
rnacentral:rRNA from 1 species